UAUAUCAUCUAAAUACUCCAAAAGCACCAUAUCCCAUCUGAUCAUGGAAGCUAAGCAGGGUUAGCCUGGUUAGUGCUUGGAUGGGAGGCUGUCAAAAAAUAGCAGGUGCUGUGGGCU
rnacentral:rRNA from 1 species